rnacentral:tRNA from 1 species
UGGGGUGUAGCUCAGUGAUAGAGCACCUAUGUAUCAUGUAUGAGGCCCUGGGUUUGAUUCUCAGCACUGCAA